rnacentral:rRNA from 1 species
UACGAAGGGGGCUAGCGUUGUUCGGAAUUACUGGGCGUAAAGCGCACGUAGGCGGGUAUUUAAGUCCGGGGUGAAAUCCCGGAGCUCAACUCCGGAACUGCCUUUGAUACUGGGUACCUAGAGUAUGGAAGAGGUAAGUGGAAUUCCGAGUGUAGAGGUGAAAUUCGUAGAUAUUCGGAGGAACACCAGUGGCGAAGGCGGCUUACUGGUCCAUUACUGACGCUGAGGUGCGAAAGCGUGGGGAGCAAACAGG